rnacentral:ncRNA from 2 species
UGCCAUGUGAUGCCAUGUUGUGCCAUGCUGGGUGGGCGACGGCAGUGGAGGAAGCCGGUGAGAAUCCGGCGCGGUCCCGCCACCGUAACCGGGGAGCGAACCCUCACCGUGUGUCACGGACGUGUAG